rnacentral:rRNA from 1 species
UACGUAGGGAGCAAGCGUUGUCCGGAAUCAUUGGGCGUAAAGCGCGCGUAGGCGGCCUCAUAAGUCCGUUGUGAAAGUCAAAGGCUCAACCUUUGAAAGCCGAUGGAUACUGUGAGGCUAGAGUCCGGAAGAGGCGAGUGGAAUUCCUGGUGUAGCGGUGGAAUGCGCAGAUAUCAGGAGGAACACCAAUAGCGAAGGCAGCUCGCUGGGACGGUACUGACGCUAAGGCGCGAAAGCGUGGGGAGCGAUCCGG